AAUGGACGAAAGUCUGACGGAGCGAUGCCGCGUGCGGGAUGAAGGCCUUCGGGUUGUAAACCGCUGUCAGUGGGGUGGAAUGCAGUGAGGCAAUCCUCAUUGUUUGACCUAACCGCAGAGGAAGUCCGGGCUAAGUACGUGCCAGCAGCCGCGGUAAUACGUACCGGACGAACGUUAUUCGGAAUCACUGGGCUUAAAGAGUACGUAGGCGGUCCUUCAGGUGGGGUGUGAAAGCCCACGGCUCAACCGUGGAAUUGCGCUCCAAACCGGAGGACUUGAGGGAGACAGGGGUAAGCGGAACUGAUGGUGGAGCGGUGAAAUGCGAUGAUAUCAUCAGGAACACCAGUGGCGAAGGCGGCUUACUGGGUCUCUUCUGACGCUGAGGUACGAAAGCUAGGGUAGCGAACGGGAUU
rnacentral:rRNA from 1 species